rnacentral:rRNA from 1 species
AUUGAACGCUGGCGGCAUGCUUUACACAUGCAAGUCGGACGGCAGCACAGAGAAGCUUGCUUCUUGGGUGGCGAGUGGCGAACGGGUGAGUAACAUAUCGGAACGUACCGAGCAGUGGGGGAUAACUAAUCGAAAGAUUAGCUAAUACCGCAUAUCUUCUGAGGAAGAAAGCAGGGGACCAUUUGGCCUUGCGCUGUUUGAGCGGCCGAUAUCUGAUUAGCUAGUUGGUGGGGUAAAGGCCUACCAAGGCGACGAUCAGUAGCGGGUCUGAGAGGAUGAUCCGCCACACUGGGACUGAGACACGGCCCAGACUCCUACGGGAGGCAGCAGUGGGGAAUUUUGGACAAUGGGCGCAAGCCUGAUCCAGCCAUGCCGCGUGUCUGAAGAAGGCCUUCGGGUGGUAAAGGACUUUUGUCAGGGAAGAAAAGGGCGGGGUUAAUACCCCUGUCUGAUGACGGUACCUGAAGAAUAAGCACCGGCUAACUACGUG